rnacentral:rRNA from 1 species
ACAGAGGCGGCAAGCGUUGUUCGGAAUUAUUGGGCGUAAAGAGCACGUAGGCGGCCUUGCAAGUCAGUUGUGAAAGCCUUCCGCUUAACGGAAGAACGGCAUCUGAUACUACAGGGCUUGAGUACGGGAGGGGAGAGUGGAACUUCUGGUGGAGCGGUGAAAUGCGUAGAUAUCCGGAGGAACACCAGUGGCGAAAGCGACUCUCUGGUCCGAAACUGACGCUGAGUGUGCGAAAGCUAGGGGAGCAAACGGG